rnacentral:rRNA from 1 species
AGUAAACGUUGGCGGCGUGCCUAACACAUGCAAGCCGAACGAUUCUCGAGUAGCUUGCUAUUCGAGGAGAGUGGCGAACGGGUGAGUAACACGUGGGUAAUCUACCCUCGAGUGAGGAAUAAUCUCGCGAAAGUGAGACUAAUACCGCAUAAUACUCUGGAGCAUAAGCUUUCAGAGUUAAAGCCUUCGGGCGCUUGAGGAUGAGCCCGCGGCCUAUUAGCUUGUUGGUAGGGUAAUGGCCUACCAAGGUAAUGAUGGGUAGCCGGCUUGAGAGGGUGUACGGCCACACUGGGACUGAGACACGGCCCAGACUCCUACGGGAGGCAGCAGUGGGGAAUUUUUGCGCAAUGGGCGAAAGCCUGACGCAGCGACGCCGCGUGGAGGAUGAAGGCUUUCGAGUUGUAAACUCCUGUUAGAGGAGAAGAAAACCCGAUUUAUCGGGCUUGACGGUAUCCUCAAAGAAAGCCCCGGCUAACUACGUG